GUUUAUACAGACGAGUAGGAAUCGAGUUAUAUAUAAACUUGCUACAAGCAAUCACGUUUUCUUUAUUGUGGCAUGAACUCUUCAACUAUUUCGUGACGAUCUUUAAAUUAAAAAAAAAGACAUGGGUUUCUACUAUUUUUUAAAUAUUGUUUUGCUUACCGAAUAUACGUCCCAAACAAUAUAAUAUAAUAUACUAGAGGUUAAAUUUUUUUGUAACUUGAAGGGUACACAACACGAUGAAGAAAGAAGAAUGCAGAAACUUGGUAGCCAAGUUGAGGAAGAAAGUAGGGAUCUUUCUACGAAGACAAGAAUCUUGGGAACUAGCGAAUCAGAUAUAAAUAUCCAAAGGCCGGUCAGCUGCUGCGGAGGUGGCGUCAACACUAGACCGCCGGCCGGAUUCCAUUCCGGCGACAUCAUUCAUGCACGUGCCAGCAGCAUGCAAACGCAACUUCUCCACUGCUUGUUUCCUGAAACCAACGACAUAUUCAAAUCCCAACCUUAAUUAAUCGUAUGACACACAGUCGCAGAUUCAGAAUUAAGAAUUCAUCGAAGUGUGGCCGCCGAAUUGUAUAAGAUUAUAUAUUGAACUUCUAUACCUGGAGAUGGGCGGUACCGUGGCCUUAAGCCACUACUGUCGUGACCGAGCAAACAAACUGUAACUGUAAUUGAACUGUUUGUACAUCGUGAUUGUACCGGACUGACUUGAUAACCAAUCAAACAGCUCGUUACGGUCUUGAAAACAUGAGCAACAACUCACGGGAAUCGCCCUCAAAUUCAUCAUCUAAAGAAACCCAAAUCAGUAAUAGGAAACAGGGCACAAGAACAUUGGUCAGUUACUGUACAAAUGUAGGUCUUUACUGAUAUGAUAAUUAAUAAUAUUGUUAGCCUCUGCCAUAACCAAAUAGAUGUAAUGUAAGAGUUAGUGUCAGUUUCAAAAGGGAGGGUAAAAAGGAAGCACAGGAGCUGGCAUUCCCUUCAGUGAAUGAAUGUCCCAGAAUGAAUUAAGGGGACAAUCUCUGAGAAAGGCACGCAGCAGUCUGGUCUAUUCAUUUAACACAAAGAGAGGAGGGGGAACCACCAUUUUUUUUGACAAUCCCUUUUUAUAUAAAAUAAAAAAGCAAGCACCUUUAUUCACACCACGCGACGCCUACACGGUUUGAGAAGACAACCAAAGUCCCGCUACAGCCACUUGGCUUGGGUGUCAAGUAACUCAUUCAAUACAGUGUGUCGGUUUACAGUACUCCCCACUACCUACCUACCUACCUACCUACCUACCUUAGGGUUCUUCAUUCCUUUCAUCUCUCCACGUGAUUACUUUGUAAAUUUCUCCUACAAAAGAUAAUGCCUUUUCCUAAAAGGUCCCAAAUAUAUACCCUAAUGUACGCACACACCUUCCAGAAGAGAUCGACCCUUAUCUAACUAACCCUUUUCUUUAGAAUAAGCUUUCACUUCACAGAAUAUGAAAAAGGAAUGAGAUUGGAUGGGGAAUUCCAUCAUUCUAAAUCCCUAAUCAUGAGGAUUCAAACCAAUCCAAUAACUUGAUUCAAACCCAUCUAGUAACUACCCUUUUCAGCCAAUUGAAUGAAAUCUAGCCUUAUCUUAAUGCCUAGAUCAAUAAAUGAGAAAGGGGGCUGCUAAAGUUGAGUUUUUUAAUUUGGGGGAAAAAGUAGUUCAUAGUCGGCAUUCCUCGUAACGAGGGAUAGAAACAAAAUAAAAAGGGGGAAAGAAAAGGCAUAUCCACCAAUAGGAACCACCUUUCCACAUUCAUUACCAGGAAAGUCAAAUCCACAUUUAUAUCAGCAAAAAGUGAGUUGAGUUAGAUUCGGUUCCAUGUAUUUUAAUAAUCAAAAUCAAUGUACCACAACAUUAAUAACUCUUUUUAGUCAAGCCUUUUCUCUAUUGGGAAAGAAAGGAUAAAAUGAUGAUAAUAACUAACAGUACUAGUGUUAAUGUAUGAAAAUUGAAAAGUACCUGUGUAUGCGUCAUAGACCAAGUCUGAGAGAGCUUUUAGACCAUUCCAGAGUGAAAACCCUCUCCAAUUGCCAACUGUCAUCCUCUGAGAGGAGCCUUCCUCUCUUCUUUGUUCUCUUCUCCUUGGUGUUCUUCCUCACUCCCGCCC
rnacentral:lncRNA from 1 species